CUGCAGUUGUCCUUCUGGGUGAUUGGAGUUUGUGAAGAUAAAUGGUAAACUUACACAUUGAUCUUUUUUUAUACUUAGCCAGCACCCACGCUCUUCAUUUUAUUCUAUACUGAAGCAAGUUGUCACUAAAAUAUUGAGGCAAAAUGAUGAAAUUGAUCAACAUGGAGCUGAAAGAAAUCUACCAAAUACUAAAUAUUUAUGAUUGUAACAUCAAUUAAAGAAGGAAAUGACUAAGUGACCAGGAAAGUUCAGCAUCUCUCAGGUGCAAUUGAAAAACUCAACAAAAGCACACGUUGUUUACAAAUUUCACAUAAAACUUGGUGGCCUAGUUGCUUGUUUAGAGGAAUUUUUGCUGCCCCAAACCACUAUCCCUUGUCCUCCUUAUGGGAUAUACAUUGCCUCAAAGAGAUACAUUACAGAUUUUGAGCAUCUGAAGCCUCAGUAAAUAUAAGAACAUGCUACUUUUGGCCAACAAAAACUUAAUCCUGAAGAAGUUUUGGACAUACAAUUUAUUUCAUAAAC
rnacentral:lncRNA from 1 species